rnacentral:lncRNA from 1 species
GGCGCCGUUGUUAUUAGGAGCGGCGAGGCGGGAGGCGCGGGGCAGCGGGGCUGGGCUCCGGCCGGGAGUCAGACGAGGGAGCGCGCGCGCGCUCCCGGACAGUUCUCCGCAGCCGCUCGCCCGAGCCUUCUACUUGGCCAACACAGCUGCCUCUACCACCUCGCGUGCCCGGUUCGUGGGCUUUCAGCUCUGAGGAAGAAACCACCAUUCAAGUUGGAGUGCGGUUAACAUCAAAAGGAGAACGGUGAGAAUGGAGUCUCCCCAAAAUUACUCUGAGCAUCACAGCUGCGUUAGAACAACGGUCAGCAUGCAUACAAAAGGACCUAAACCACAUUCUCCUCGUCCCGGCCGGCCGUCACCCUAGAGCAAGCACAGUUCUUCCUUCAGCUCCUCUCCUGCUCACCAUGGCUCAGCUGAAAUCAUUGCCUAUGAGAUAACCACUCACGGUUUCCCAUCACCACAGUGUUCUCAUGGCCUGCCAAACGAGAACUUGCAGGCCUAGCAUGUAAAGGGACCAGGGAAGGAGGCAGAGUGGGGCCUGCUGUUGAGGCUGGCUGCUUCUGUGUUCUCUGCCUGUGCCAGGCUGCGUAUGGUCUUCACUUGCCGUCUUUGAACUGAGAGAACCUCAGCUGUAAGUGUGUUGGUGUGCGGGAUGCUUCCCCAGAGGGAUUCGCUCUGCUCUGACAACACUUUGUCAAUCUCGGGUAAAAUGAGACCUUUCUCUUAAAGAGAAGGUUACAGCUAAUUUUCUGUAAGAGCAGUAAAGUUAAGAAGACCUUCCCUGAGGGUAGAAAAACCACAAAACCCAGGAGCAGGGACUGUCUUCUUUCUUACAGUAUUUACUAUCCCCACCCCCACCCCUGCUGCCUUGCCAUACCAGGCAUGAAGGAACUAGUCACUUAAGCAAGAAAACUGUACUCCAGAUCUUAAGAACCUCAAUUCUCACCCUUAUCAGUGUCUUUUUAAAUGAAUAAUACCGUGACCUUCAGCUUUGUCCUCCAUUAUGGGAGGUUGCUUCGCAGAGACCGCUCCACUUUCCUAAAUUAAGGCGGCUGCUGUCUGUAUUCCGCUCAGCUCUAGUGUUAGUAUUGUCCCAAGUGUGACAUUUAUGCUCUUUCGCUUCUUCCUUAUAAAUAAAUAUCAAAGGAGGAAGACCAGUGUGAACUCCACAAGGAAUAAUAAACUACAAUAAUACGCCAUUGAUUUUGU